rnacentral:rRNA from 1 species
CCUACGGGUGGCUGCAGUGGGGAAUCUUGCGCAAUGGGCGAAAGCCUGACGCAGCCAUGCCGCGUGAAUGAUGAAGGUCUUAGGAUUGUAAAAUUCUUUCACCGGGGACGAUAAUGACGGUACCCGGAGAAGAAGCCCCGGCUAACUUCGUGCCAGCAGCCGCGGUAAUACGAAGGGGGCUAGCGUUGCUCGGAAUUACUGGGCGUAAAGGGCGCGUAGGCGGACAUUUAAGCCAGGGGUGAAAUCCCAGAGCUCACCUCUUGAACUGCCUUUGAUACUUGAUGUCUUGAGUGAGGGAGAGGUAUUUGGAAAUCGGAGUGUAGAGGUGAAAUUCGUAGAUAUUCGGACGAACACCAGUGGCGAAGGCGACAUACUGGCUCAUUACUGACGCUGAGGCGAGAAAGCGUGGGGAGCGAUCAGGAUUAGAUACCCGGGUAGUC